rnacentral:rRNA from 1 species
AGUGAACGCUGGCGGUAGGCCUAACACAUGCAAGUCGAACGGCAGCACAGUAAGAGCUUGCUCUUACGGGUGGCGAGUGGCGGACGGGUGAGGAAUACAUCGGAAUCUACUUUUUCGUGGGGGGUAACGUAGGGAAACUUACGCUAAUACCGCAUACGACCUACGGGUGAAAGCAGGGGAUCUUCGGACCUUGCGCGAUUGAAUGAGCCGAUGUCGGAUUAGCUAGUUGGCGGGGUGAAGGCCCACCAAGGCGACGAUCCGUAGCUGGUCUGAGAGGAUGAUCAGCCACACUGGAACUGAGACACGGUCCAGACUCCUACGGGAGGCAGCAGUGGGGAAUAUUGGACAAUGGGCGCAAGCCUGAUCCAGCCAUACCGCGUGGGUGAAGAAGGCCUUCGGGUUGUAAAGCCCUUUUGUUGGGAAAGAAAAGCAGCAGGUUAAUACCCCGCUGUUCUGACGGUACCCAAAGAAUAAGCACCGGCUAACUUCGUG